rnacentral:rRNA from 1 species
GUGAGGAAUAUUGCACAAUGGGCGCAAGCCUGAUGCAGCGACGCCGCGUGGGUGAUGAAGGUUUUCGGAUCGUAAAGCCCUUUUCUGCGUGACGAGGAAGGACGGUAGCGCAGGAAGAAGUGUCGGCUAACUACGUGCCAGCAGCCGCGGUAAAACGUAGGACACAAGCGUUAUCCGGAGUUACUGGGCGUAAAGGGCGUGCAGGCGGUUUCUUAAGUCAGGCGUGAAAUCCGCUGGCUAAACUGGCGGGUGUCGUUUGAGACUGGGAAACUAGAGGAUGGUAGAGGCGUGUAGAAUUCCGGGUGUAGUGGUGAAAUGCGUAGAUAUCCGGAGGAAUACCAGUGGCGAAGGCGGCACGCUGGGCCAUUACUGACGCUAAGACGCGAAAGCAUGGGUAGCGAACGGGAUUAGAAACCCGUGUAGUCC